CCUACGGGUGGCAGCAGUGGGGAAUAUUGGACAAUGGGCGCAAGCCUGAUCCAGCAACGCCGCGUGGAGGACGAAGGUCUUCGGAUCGUAAACUCCUGUCAGACGGGACGAAGGUUCCUGGGCGAACAGUCCGGGAGCUUGACGGUACUGUCAGAGGAAGCCCCGGCUAACUCCGUGCCAGCAGCCGCGGUAAUACGGAGGGGGCUAGCGUUAUUCGGAAUUAUUGGGCGUAAAGGGCGCGUAGGCGGCCCGGUAAGUCAAAGGUGAAAUCCCUCGGCUCAACUGAGGAACUGCCUUUGAAACUGUCGGGCUUGAGGCCGGGAGGGGGUAGCGGAAUUCCCAGUGUAGCGGUGAAAUGCGUAGAUAUUGGGAGGAACACCGGUGGCGAAGGCGGCUACCUGGACCGGUUCUGACGCUGAUGCGCGAAAGCGUGGGUAGCA
rnacentral:rRNA from 1 species